rnacentral:lncRNA from 1 species
UUGCUCAUUUUGUUAACCUGGGGAUGUUUCAAGAUGGUAUGUGGGGCUAUGCAUUUCAAUCAUAUUCAGUUAAUUACCUGAUACUUUUUAUCUGUGAUGUUACAUGCUUAAAUGGUUUUCUUCUAGUGCAUUCUCCAACAUGGCUGCCUGCUGCUGCUUGCCAUCCAUUGAUAAGUCUGCAAUGUUGGAGUGGAUCCGUACUGUUCUG